CUCCGCCGCGCCGGGGAUGGCCGCGGACGAGGAGACUCCUGGGUUUCCCUGGCAACAGGUGCCGGGGGAGCCGGGAGAGCCCGGGCUUCCCCGCUCGGCUCCGCGCCGCCGCCGACCCCGGGCAGCCUCGCCGCCGGGCCGGGCCGGGCCGGGCCUGUCCGCGGGCCGGCCCCGCCCGCAGCGGAAGGUUCACAAGAAAAGAAUGUAUUAUUUGAGGAGAAAACACUUCAUUGAACCUGAUGUUUCCCUGUUAGAGGUGGGGCUUUCUAAGCAGUUGCUGUUUUUUCAUAGAAGAAAUUCCAAGAAUUUAAGGCUCUGAAAGUAAUUUUCAUAGAGCCUCAUUAUUUGCUGUGUCCCUUGAAACCCUGUCUCCUCAAUUCACGUGAGUAUGUACAGAAGGGCAAACUCAUUCAGAAGCAAAAUUCUGUAAUAGGCAUGUGUGGGAGGAAGCAGAUAAUUUUCACUGAUC
rnacentral:lncRNA from 1 species